ACUUAAGCAUAUCAAUAAGCGGAGGAAAAGAAACCAACAGGGAUUGCCUUAGUAACGGCGAGUGAAGCGGCAACAGCUCAAAUUUGAAAUCUGGCCCUCGGGUCCGAAUUGUAAUUUGUAGAGGAUGAUUUUGGUGCGGUAUCUUCCGAGUUCCUUGGAACAGGACGCCUUAGAGGGUGAGAGCCCCGUACGGUUGAAUGCCUAGCCUCUGUAAAUCUCCUUCGACGAGUCGAGUAGUUUGGGAAUGCUGCUCUAAAUGGGAGGUAAAUUUCUUCUAAAGCUAAAUAUUGGCCAGAGACCGAUAGCGCACAAGUAGAGUGAUCGAAAGAUGAAAAGCACUUUGAAAAGAGGGUUAAAUAGCACGUGAAAUUGUUGAAAGGGAAGGAUUUGUGACCAGACUUUUUCUGGGCGGAUCAUCCGGGGUUCUCUCCGGUGCACUUUGCCCAGUAAAGGCCAGCAUCGAUUUUCGGCGGCGGAUAAAAGCAGUGGGAAUGUGGCUCCCUACGGGGAGUGUUAUAGCCCAUUGUAUAAUACGCUGCUGGGGAUCGAGGUACGCGCUUCUGCAAGGAUGCUGGCGUAAUGGUUAUCAAUCACCCGUCUUGAAACACGGACCAAGGAGUCGAACAUUUAUGCGAGUGUUUGGGUGUUAAACCCUCACGCGUAAUGAAAGUGAACGGAGGUGAGAGCCCUUACGGGUGCAUCAUCGACCGAUCCUGAAGUUUUCGGAUGGAUUUGAGUAAGAGCAUAACUGUUCGGACCCGAAAGAUGGUGAACUAUGCGUGGAUAGGGUGAAGCCAGAGGAAACUCUGGUGGAGGCUCGCAGCGGUUCUGACGUGCAAAUCGAUCGUCAAAUCUGCGCAUGGGGGCGAAAGACUAAUCGAACCAUCUAGUAGCUGGUUACCGCCG
rnacentral:rRNA from 1 species